AGGCUGGUUGAGACGACCAAAUCAUCAACUGGGCCUGUGCGGAUGACCAGGAUGAGUGACUGAGUGACCCUUUGACAUCAAGGAGAUAAAAACUCCACCAUCAGAUCAUGAAUGUGAGCUCCAUGAGAGCAAGGACCAUCUCUGCCUUAUUCUCUUAACAUGGAAACUUGGCACAUAGUAUAUUAUCAGUAAAUACUUCUCAAAUGAAUGGAUGCAUCAGCAAAUGUUUCAAAGAAUGAACCAACAGCCUCUGGGGCAAGCAAAGCUCCCCUCUCUGGAGCUUAGUGUUAAGAUCACGUUUGGAAGCAGACUGCCCAGGGAAGAGCUCCCUGAGGUGUCCUACUCUUCCAUUUGAAUCCUGCCGUCUCUCCUGAAACUAAGAGGCCCAAGUACAAAGCACAUGACUUCUCUUUGGCCGACUUUGUAGCAUCCUGUGGUGGUAGAGAGAUGGCUGCAUCCACACGAGACACAUAUCCACGCCCAACAAGAUCCAGAGGAAAAGUGAGACCAUCUCUUCUGGGGAUUUCUCUCAAGAAUGAGGAAACAUCUUUCUCAGCAAACUUCCUUCUCAUGUCUCAGCCCCAGUUGGAUUUGUGCCAUUUCCAAACUGAUCCCUUUAACAAGAGAAUGUCAUAUUCCAGUUGACUUGGGCCUAGAUUUCUAAACUAAUCCAUAUAAGGAGAAUUUUUUUAGUCUUAGACUUUUCAUACCACCAGUAGAAGUGGAAGAGGGAUCAGCUCCCCCUGAAGCUGCAUGUGGGAGAGAUGGCUAUCUGGAAGAAAAUCGUCGUGCUUUUCAAAAAUGGGAAAUAGAUUCCUGGAAGACAACUGGAACUUUCCACUGCAAUAGUCUUCACAAAUACCAUAAACAUGUGAAGUAGGGGAGACAAAAGUGCAAUCAAAAAGGUGCAAGAUAUUGUGAUAAAUGCUCUUCUAAGGAUACCCAAAAUAUACCGUGGAAAAAUGUAGAAACAAUAGGCAAGAAUGAAGAAAUCUAACUGAAAUGGUUUAGGGUCACUUCCUUGAGGGAACAACGUAUAAACUAAACUGAACCUUGAAAGAUGAGUGACAGUUAGUCAGGUAGAGAAAGGAGUAGUAUUUCAAGUAAAGACAACAGAGGGUUUGAAGCUAAAGAAGUGUGAAUGAGCCUGAUGAGAUCAGAGAGCAGUAAGAAGUUCAGCAUGGUUGAAGAGCACCUAACGGGAGUAGGGGCUGGAGAGUAGGAGUGCCACAAGACGAGAAGCUGGGAAACAAGU